GGUAGGGCGGCCGAGGUAAGCGCUGGGUUGUAAACCCAAGAACAGGGGUUGAAGUCCCCUUCCUACCA
rnacentral:tRNA from 1 species